rnacentral:rRNA from 1 species
UACGUAGGGGGCUAGCGUUGUCCGGAUUUAUUGGGCGUAAAGAGCGUGUAGGCGGCCAGAUAGGUCUGCUGUGAAAACUCGAGGCUCAACCUCGAGAUGUCGGCGGAAACCAUUUGGCUAGAGUCCGGAAGAGGAAAGUGGAAUUCCUGGUGUAGCGGUGAAAUGCGCAGAUAUCAGGAGGAACACCCGUAGCGAAGGCGGCACUCUGGGCCGAUACUGACACUGAGGAGCGAAAGCGUGGGGAGCGAACAGG